GCCAGGUGUGGUAGUGGGCGCCUGUAAUCCCAGCUACUCGGGAGGCUGAGACAGGAGAAUCACUUGAACCCGGGAGGCAGAGGUUGCAGUGAGCCAAGAUUGUGCCACUGCACUCCAGCCUGGGUGACAGAGUGAGACUCUGUCUCAA
rnacentral:SRP_RNA from 1 species